rnacentral:siRNA from 1 species
AUCGGAUCCGUUUUUUCGUCAGCC